ACUCAAAUGAAUUGACGGGGGCCCGCACAAGCAGCGGAGCGUGUGGUUUAAUUCGAGGCUACACGAAGAACCUUACCUGGGUUUGACAUGCUGGUAGUAGGGAACUGAAAAGGGACCGACCGCAAGGAGCCAGCACAGGUGCUGCAUGGCUGUCGUCAGCUCGUGCCGUGAGGUGUUCGGUUAAGUCCGCAAACGAGCGCAACCCUCGGCGUUAGUUACACGUGUCUAACGCGACUGCCCGUGAGAAACGGGAGGAAGGUGGGGAUGACGUCAAGUCAGCAUGGCCUUUAUAUCCAGGGCUACACACACGCUACAAUGGGCGGUACAGAGGGUCGCGAAGCCGCGAGGUGGAGCCAAUCCAGAAAGCCGUUCGUAGUUCGGAUUGCAGGCUGCAACUCGCCUGCAUGAAGUCGGAGUUGCUAGUAACCGCGCGUCAGCUAUAGCGCGGUGAAUACGUUCCCGGGCCUUGUACACACCGCCCGU
rnacentral:rRNA from 1 species